UACAGAGGAUGCAAGCGUUAUCCGGAAUGAUUGGGCGUAAAGCGUCUGUAGGUGGCUUUUUAAGUCCGCCGUCAAAUCCCAGGGCUCAACUCUGGACAGGCGGUGGAAACUACCAAGCUGGAGUACGGUAGGGGCAGAGGGAAUUUCCGGUGGAGCGGUGAAAUGCGUAGAGAUCGGAAAGAACACCAACGGCGAAAGCAGCACACUGGCGCAUUCCUGACACUGAGACACUAAAGCGUGGGUAGCGAAUGGG
rnacentral:rRNA from 1 species